ensembl:lncRNA
CACACAGUCCCUAAACACCAUUAUUACAAUCCCACAUAGUCCCCAAACACCGUUAUUUGUCACGCUGAGCGGAACAGGUGAACGCAAGAGCAGACUCAGACGAGGAGACUGGGAUGAGGUAACCAAGAUAUUUAUUGAAACACAGGGGUAUGAUGGGGUGCAGGCCAGGGGAAGCUCGGGCGGGUUACAGGAAGCCCGGUGCAGAGGCUGAGGCUGGAGCGAGGGGAGUUGGGACUGGGCUAGCAGGUCCAGAGGCUGAGGCUGGAGCGAGGGGAGUUGGGACUGGGCUAGCAGGUCCAGAGGCUGAGGCUGGAGCGAGGGGAGUCGGGACUGGGCUAGCAGGUCCAGAGGCUGAGGCUGGAGCGAGGGGAGUUGGGACUGGGCUAGCAGGUCCAGAGGCUGAGGCUGGAGCGAGGGGAGUUGGGACUGGGCUAGCAGGUCCGGAUAGGAAUCCAAGGACGCAGUGGAGUUGGGGGGGGUUCAGGACAGAGUAGCAGGACUGACGAGAUGUGGGACUGGAGACGGACCAAAGUCAGAGCGGGCAGAACUGUAGCGGACAGGACAGCAAGCGUCAGGCAAGGGAAAACAGGCAUAACACAAAAACAAGAUCUAAGCAGGAACAAAAGGCAACAACAAAAACAGACUGCCUGAGCA